rnacentral:rRNA from 1 species
GACGAACGCUGGCGGCGUGCCUAAUACAUGCAAGUUGAGCGAUGAAGAUUGGUGCUUGCACCAAUUUGAAGAGCAGCGAACGGGUGAGUAACGCGUGGGGAAUCUGCCUUUGAGCGGGGGACAACAUUUGGAAACGAAUGCUAAUACCGCAUAACAACUUUAAACAUAAGUUUUAAGUUUGAAAGAUGCAAUUGCAUCACUCAAAGAUGAUCCCGCGUUGUAUUAGCUAGUUGGUGAGGUAAAGGCUCACCAAGGCGAUGAUACAUAGCCGACCUGAGAGGGUGAUCGGCCACAUUGGGACUGAGACACGGCCCAAACUCCUACGGGAGGCAGCAGUAGGGAAUCUUCGGCAAUGGACGAAAGUCUGGCCGAGCAACGCCGCGUGAGUGAAGAAGGGUUUCGGAUCGUAAAACUCGGUUGGUAGAGAAGAACGUUGGUGAGAGUGGAAAGCUCAUCAAGUGACGGUAACUACCCAGAAAGGGACGGCUAACUACGUG